CCGAGAGAGAUUACUGGCUACCGAGAGAGAUUACUGGCUACCGAGAGAGAUUACUGGCUACCGAGAGAGGAUGAUAGAAGUGCUACACCUGGUGGAGAGAGAUUGUAAGACAGAAAUAGUAGCUUUAUGCGUGCUGUACGUUACGACAUGACACGUCAAGAUGUAACGGAAGUUACAGCACAUGGAACCACCGUUGGCAGCCAAACAUCCAAUCAAAGCAAAGCAGAACACGUUAUAAAUCAUAUCAAAUAUUAAUGCAGUAUGACCAAUGACAAAUUAGCCAUCCAUUGUGUUAUAUCGUGAAUUGUCUGACAUGCCGUUACUGUUGUCAAAAGAUUAUAAACAUGUUAAAUAAAGUUACUAACCCAGUCAGUCUUUGGGCCACAUCCAGGUUCUUUAUCAGUGGCCCACAUGAAGCAGUUGUUGGCUUUGUUGAACCCUGAAAUCAUAGGCAUGAACUGAACAUAUGGCUGUCCCAACUACAUAAAAAUAAAGAAUUGACAUUUACUUUGUCAUUAUAUACCAGACAUUUUUAGUAUAUCCUCAGCCAUUUCUUUUCGCAGUUGCUCCAUGUGUUUUUGAAGGUUCCAUAUCAUUUUGGGAUGUUGGGGAAGUUCUGUGCAACUUCCUUGGACAUCUACACCAACAAAUAAAAUAGAGUUUUUGACCUAAUUGUCACAUAACAGCUAACCACUCAUUAUUGAAAAUCUAACUAUCAAACCUGCAUUACAAAGACCCCACAGCUGAAUGUGUCC